rnacentral:rRNA from 1 species
UGGGGAAUAUUGCACAAUGGGCGCAAGCCUGAUGCAGCCAUGCCGCGUGUAUGAAGAAGGCCUUCGGGUUGUAAAGCACUUUCAGCGGGGAGGAAGGCGAUAAGGUUAAUAACCUUGUCGAUUGACGUUACCCGCAGAAGAAGCACCGGCUAACUCCGUGCCAGCAGCCGCGGUAAUACGGAGGGUGCAAGCGUUAAUCGGAAUUACUGGGCGUAAAGCGCACGCAGGCGGUUGAUUGAGUCAGAUGUGAAAUCCCCGGGCUUAACCCGGGAAUUGCAUCUGAUACUGGUCAGCUAGAGUCUUGUAGAGGGGGGUAGAAUUCCAUGUGUAGCGGUGAAAUGCGUAGAGAUGUGGAGGAAUACCGGUGGCGAAGGCGGCCCCCUGAACAAAGACUGACGCUCAGGUGCGAAAGCGUGGGGAGCAAACAGG